rnacentral:rRNA from 1 species
GAGCGCCAAUUUAUUGGAGCAGCGAACGGGUGAGUAACACGUUGGAACCUACCUUGGACUCAGGGAUAACCCGCCGAAAGGCGCGGCUAAUACCGGAUAGUCCCGCAAGGGUAAAGCUUUUGCGGUCCAAGAGGGUCCUGCAGCCUAUCAGCUAGUUGGUAAGGUAACGGCUUACCAAGGCAAUGACGGGUAGCUGGUCUGAGAGGAUGAUCAGCCACAAUGGGACUGAGACACGGCCCAU